GAGGUAGCGCUGAAACACUUCCUGUCUCUCAAGAGAGGAAAGCACCUCCUCUGUCCUCUCUCCUCUGUCCUCUGAGGAGAGAGGACCCGAGGAGAGAGGACCUGAGGAGUAUGUAAUUGAGAUCUUGUUACAGGCUGAGAUCAUCCCAAAAAAGUCAUCCUUUAUGAUGCAAAGCCAAGCUCGCGUCCUGGACGCCCCCCAAAGAGGGCUCAGAGUAUGACAUCAUCAGAGAACCAACACCUUCUGUCUCAUUCUGUCAGCGGGCUGAUGUCAGCUGGAAUCAUGCCCCCUACUGGUCUGACAGCGGCUGCUCUUGCUGAGGCCAUGAAGACCAAAAAGAUCAAGUUGGAGGUGAUGGGGGGUUACCAUAGUAACCACCACCAGCAUCAUCAUCACCACGGGACAGACGGAGAGAACGGAGGAGAUCACCACAACUCCUCCAGUCUGGGUGAGUCCAUAUUAAUCCCUGUUAUUACGUUAUCAUUACAGUCAAUGGACCAGCAUCAGUUUCAUUACAAUGCUGGCCCUCUAGGCUUUGAGUUAGAGACACUAUACACAGUACCAGUCAACCACUAUACACAGUACCAGUCAAACACUAUACACAGUACCAGUCAACCACUAUACACAGUACCAGUCAACCACUAUACACAGUACCAGUCAACCACUAUACACAGUACCAGUCAAACACUAUACACAGUACCAGUCAACCACUAUACACAGUACCAGUCAAACACUAUACACAGUACCAGUCAAACACUAUACACAGUACCAGUCAAACACUAUACACAGUACCAGUCAAACACUAUACACAGUACCAGUCAAACACUAUACACAGUACCAGUCAAACACUAUACACAGUACCA